rfam:Triticum aestivum genome assembly, contig: Triticum_aestivum_CS42_TGACv1_scaffold_500281_6BL
UACAUACUCCCUCCGUCCGGAAAUACUUGUCAUCAAAAUGGAUAAAAAGGGAUGUAUCUAGUUCUAGAUACAUCCCUUUUUAUCCAUUUUGAUGACAUAGUUCUAGAUACAUCCCUUUUUAUCCAUUUUGAUGACAAGUAUAUUCGGACGGAGGGAGUAUAUG